rnacentral:rRNA from 1 species
GUGGGGAAUCUUAGACAAUGGGGGAAACCCUGAUCUAGCCAUGCCGCGUGAGCGAUGAAGGCCUUAGGGUUGUAAAGCUCUUUCAGCUGGGAAGAUAAUGACUGUACCAGCAGAAGAAGCCCCGGCUAACUCCGUGCCAGCAGCCGCGGUAAUACGGAGGGGGCUAGCGUUGUUCGGAAUUACUGGGCGUAAAGCGCACGUAGGCGGACCGGAAAGUCAGAGGUGAAAUCCCAGGGCUCAACCUUGGAACUGCCUUUGAAACUCCUGGUCUUGAGGUCGAGAGAGGUGAGUGGAAUUCCGAGUGUAGAGGUGAAAUUCGUAGAUAUUCGGAGGAACACCAGUGGCGAAGGCGGCUCACUGGCUCGAUACUGACGCUGAGGUGCGAAAGCGUGGGGAGCAAAUGGGAUUAGAUACCCCGGUAGUCC